UACAGAGGUCUCAAGCGUUGUUCGGAUUCAUUGGGCGUAAAGGGUGCGUAGGCGGCGAGGUAAGUCUGAUGUGAAAUCCCGGGGCUCAACCCCGGAACUGCAUUGGAUACUGCCUUGCUAGAGUACUGGAGAGGAGACUGGAAUUUACGGUGUAGCAGUGAAAUGCGUAGAUAUCGUAAGGAAGACCAGUGGCGAAGGCGAGUCUCUGGACAGUUACUGACGCUGAGGCACGAAGGCCAGGGGAGCAAACGGG
rnacentral:rRNA from 1 species